UUUUUUGUUGUCUUUAGAUUUUUUGACGUAAUGUUUUGUGGACUUGCUUGUUUUGUAGUCGGUUUUCCCUUUUUUACCAUGGUGUAUUAGUUUUACUUCGACUUAAAAUGGUUUAAGUGUCCCUUUGGUAUCUCCCACCAAUUUCCUCCUGGAACUUAAACCAUUAAAUUUUCACUGUAGUCAUUUUGAUUCACACAUUAUUUUCUUUCUCUUAGAACACUGCAUACGUGCAUCUUUUUUCUUCAUCAAUUCAUAGACAACAAUAUGUCACAUGAUCAUUGACUUUAAAAAAGAACUUGUUACCUUAU
rnacentral:lncRNA from 1 species